UACGUAGGGGCGAGCGUUGUCCGGAAUCAUUGGGCGUAAAGAGCUCGUAGGCGGUUCAGUAAGUCAGGUGUGAAAGCUCCGAGCUCAACUCGGAGAGGCCACCUGAUACUGCUGUGACUAGAAUCCAGUAGGGAGUGUGGAACUCCUGGUGUAGCGGUGAAAUGCGCAGAUAUCAGGAAGAACACCAGCGGCGAAGGCGGCACUCUGGCUGGAAUUGACGCUGAGGAGCGAAAGUGUGGUAGCAACAGG
rnacentral:rRNA from 1 species